CCUUUGCUCUUUUGGGUGUCGGUGCUGCGGGCCCAGCUGGACCUGGAGGAAUAACAGUAUUUGUUUUAUUUUAUCUCCAAAAAGCCACCAUUAAAUGCUGUCACCCCUGGAAAGAUCUGAAAGGUCCUCAGGAAGAAGUGAGAUAGAUAUGUUGGCCAUUGAGGACUUGAUAGCAAGCUAUAGACACAAGACAUAGGUGGCAUUGCUGGAAU